UUUUAAAAAGAUAAUCCUAUGUCCAUUUCACUCAAUUGCCCUUUAGAAGGGUUGAACCAGUGUAUACUCCCACCAGUCAUAUGUGGGAGUGCCUGUCUCUCUCUGGGGAGAUUUAAUAUCAAUUGAAAACUUUUUGAAAGAAUGCUGCCCUUAUUAUACCAUGCAAAUUUUGCUAUAGCUAUUGACUAUCACUUCCAAGUAAAAAAAUAAGACCACCAGGUCCAUGUCAUAAGUAGAGAACUUGACAUGGUGUCCUUCUCCUCCUCUUCCUCUCUCUUCUUCCUCCUCCUCCUCCUCUUUUCUUUCUUCUUCUUUUAAGAGAGAUAAAGUCUGUCUCUCUCUCUGUCACCCAGGUUGGAGUACAGUGGUAUGAUCAUAGCUCACUGCAGCCUCAAACUCCUGGGCUCAAGCAAUCCUAAAAACAGAGUGUCUUCUAAAGCUAUGUGUGGACUAGAAUCAUAACCAGAGCCAGAAAACCAUCAGGGCACCAAGAAGUUAUACUCUUUGCCUCCCUCUCACAACCCUCAUCAGCAGACUCAUAGCAUUUCUGCUUCUUUCAGUGCACCUGCUGACGCCGUCUUCCAGAGCCUGGUUUCCAGCCUGCACAAGACCUAUGGUGGCCACUUAAUGACAUUUUGGUCCAGCUCUUAUGGUUAUUUAACCUCACUUCAGUUUUUCAAUCCCAAAUUUCUGAACGAGGAGUCUAAUUGACCCAGCCUAUCUUCUCCUGAAUCAGUACAUCCAAGUCUGGAGUCACUUAACAGCCUUGGCGCAAGUGCCUAUCCUUUAAUCUGGUCAACUGUGGCCAGGGGACGGAGUCGUGAUAUAGAGCAUGACCAUUAGAGCAUCUGGGGAAAAAGGAGAAGAAAGUCCAUCUGUUUAUUCAAAUCCAAAGAAGGUCGUUCCUUUCUUUCAGUCACCAGAAAUCUGUGCUGUGAACUUUUCAAAUGUGGAACAUUGUUCCAUGUGAUGAAGGAUUGUAAAUUUUCUUCAUGUUAAUUCUUUUCGUUGUUGCCAAGACUUGGGGUAUUUGAAAGAACUUGAACCGGCAUUCAUUUAUUUUAAAGCAGUUAAAUAGCUAAGUCAUGGAAACAUUUCAUUUUUUUUAAUUGACAUUCUGUUUGCUCUUUGGUCUCUUGGGAAUCAAACGCCCCUAAGAGAUGCGGCUCCAUCAUUGCUCACAAUACUGUGUUUUCUUACUAAUGGGAUCAGAAGCUGAGAAAGGAAAAACAAAUACAUCAUUUAUUUGUUCAAGGAAGUGCAGAUAUUGAGACUCAAACUGACCGUGUGGAUUUUACAGAAUUUGCUUGAAGCACUCAUUCAUUUCCUAUUGAAGAGCUACUCUUGGCUCCGUGGAAUCAGAGAUUUUGAAGUAUCAUAUGACUGUAGUAGAAAUAAAGUCACAAUUUCAAAAGAGAUUUACAAAUUUUGAUGAGCAUGAUUCAUACUACGAGUUUCUUCAAUUGCCCUUAGAUCAUAAACUCUAAAUUAAUAAGUUUUCUUUAGUCAAGUUGCUCAAUUUUAAGAAAAACUCAAUCUCUGAAAUUUUAGAGGCAAGCAUAUGAAUCCGAGUAUUAUAGUACAUUUUAUGGCUAUGGGACCAAUUCUGGCUAACAUUUGGAUUUAUCUGGUUAUUAAAAAGUAUAUCUUUUUAAGAAGAAACUACUGAAAUGAAAGGAAAAAAGUGGCCGGGCUCGGUGGCUCCUGCGUGUAAUCCCAGCACUUUGGGAGUCUGAGGCAGGCGGAUCACCUGAGGUCAGGAGUUCAAGACCAGCUUGGCCAAUGUAUCGAAACCCCCUCUCUACUAAAAAUACAAAAAUUAGCCAGGUGUGGUGGCGUGUGCCUGUAAUCCCAGAUACUCGGGGGGCUGAGGCAGGAGAAUCUCUUGAACAUGGGAGGCGGAAGUUGCAGUGAGCCAAGAUCCUGCCACUACAUUCCAGCCUGGGCAACAAGAGUGAAACUCCAUCUCAAAAAAAAGCUGCUACACUUGAUGUUAAUCUAGAAUCCAAAUUGAAACCAAAUAUACUUGUAAUUUUAGACUAGAUCUGUAGGCUUACACCUGUGUACUUUGGAAGAAUAAAUUGUUGUUCAGAUUUAGAACUACGUUUAUAUUAC
ensembl:lncRNA